rnacentral:tRNA from 1 species
GCGGGCAUAGUGUAGCGGUAACACACCAGCCUUCCAAGCUGUUAUCACGGGUUCGAGUCCCGUUGCCCGCU